GAGCUUCUGCUCAGAGAUGACAGAGCAGCAAGAGACGGACCCUUGACGGGCUCUGCAUCUACACUGCUGAGUCCUGACACUGCUGCCCUCAUCUUGGCACAACGAAGAAAUGUACCCAGUGGGGAACAGGUCCAGCAUGGUAGAGCCAACGAGGACAGGAGAAUGACUGUCAGAUGAUCCUGGCUGAGCUGCUCAAUUAAUUCCUUCCACAGUCACCCUUCAGUCGGGUUCUUAUGCGAAGUAAUAAAUCUCCUUAUCAUUUGAA
rnacentral:lncRNA from 1 species